UCGUACUCCCCAGGCGGUCAACUUCACGCGUUAGCUACGUUACCAAGCCCGUUAAGACCCGACAACUAGUUGACAUCGUUUAGGGCAUGGACUACCAGGGUAUCUAAUCCUGUUUGCUUCCCAUGCUUUCGUGCCUGAGCGUCAGUGUUGACCCAGGGGGCUGCCUUCGCCAUUGGUGUUCCUCCACAUCUCUACGCAUUUCACUGCUACACGCGGAAUUCCACCCCCCUCUGCCACACUCUAGCCUUGCAGUUUCAAACGCAGUUCCCAGGUUAAGCCCGGGGAUUUCACAUCUGACUUACAAAACCGCCUGCGCACGCUUUACGCCCAGUAAUUCCGAUUAACGCUCGCACCCUACGUAUUACCGCGGCUGCUGGCACGUAGUUAGCCGGUGCUUCUUUUUCCGGUACCGUCAGUAGUCACGGGUAUUGACCGUGACCGUUUCGUUCCGGCUGAAAGAGCUUUACAACCCGAAGGCCUUCUUCACUCACGCGGCAUGGCUGGAUCAGGGUUGCCCCCAUUGUCCAAAAUUCCCCACUGCUGCCUCCCGUAGGAGUCUGGGCCGUGUCUCAGUCCCAGUGUGGCUGGUCGUCCUCUCAGACCAGCUACUGAUCGGAGCCUUGGUGAGCUUUUACCUCACCAACAAGCUAAUCAGGCAUCGGCCGCUCCAAAAGCGCAAGGUCUUGCGAUCCCCUGCUU
rnacentral:rRNA from 1 species